GUGCUCGCUUCAGCAGCACAUAUACUAAAAUUGGAAUGAUGCAGAGAAGAUAGCAUGGCCCCUCUGCAAGGAUGACACGCAAAUUCAUGAAGCGCUCCAAAUUUUU
rnacentral:snRNA from 1 species